GUAGUCAUCAGUGAGGUACUGUACAUAGACGUGCUGUAAGGACGAAAAGUUCUUCACAAUAGGAUGCAUGGGAAAGCAAGCAGGGAGCAGUGGAGGAGGCUGAACCCAGAACGUGGGCUGAGGAUGCUGGGAGGGAACAGGGUUGGGGGCUGAAUCCUAACAGGAGGAAGCUACUGAGCUGCUUCUGUAAGUUGGGCCUGGAUGGAAACCCUGGAAGCAGUAACUCCAAGAAAGAUUCAAAAGUGGGACAAGAAGAGCAAGAACCAGGAAUGGAAAAACUCCAAGGAACAUGAGUGAAGAGCCUCGAAAAAACAGGACACUCACAGUUCAGGAAACUACCAAGGGUCCAAGGAGAGGCCUUGCUUGGCCGUGGUGUGGUCCUGCAACUCCAGGGCAGACCUAGACUCAUGGGAAAGUCCCUGCUUUGUGAUGAGGCUGAAAGAGGAUGAGUGGGGAGUGGCCGGAAGAAGAAAGGGUGUAACCAGAGACCAGUGUCAACAAGGAAUCUGGCUUGGAACGCUUUUGUCUGCAGCCCUCUUUGGAGCGUGACUUGCUCUUUCAGAGGUCAGUG
rnacentral:lncRNA from 10 species